AGCGAACGCUGGCGGCAGGCCUAACACAUGCAAGUCGAACGAAGUCUUCGGACUUAGUGGCGGACGGGUGAGUAACACGUGGGAACGUGCCUUUAGGUUCGGAAUAACUCAGGGAAACUUGUGCUAAUACCGAAUGUGCCCUUCGGGGGAAAGAUUUAUCGCCUUUAGAGCGGCCCGCGUCUGAUUAGCUAGUGGGGGGGGUAAAGGCUCACCAAGGCCACGAUCAGUAGCUGGUCUGAGAGGAUGAUCAGCCACAUUGGGACUGAGACACGGCCCAAACUCCUACGGGAGGCAGCAGUGGGGAAUCUUGCGCAAUGGGCGAAAGCCUGACGCAGCCAUGCCGCGUGAAUGAUGAAGGUCUUAGGAUUGUAAAAUUCUUUCACCGGGGACGAUAAUGACGGUACCCGGAGAAGAAGCCCCGGCUAACUUCGUGCCAGCCGCCGCAGUAAUAC
rnacentral:rRNA from 1 species